rnacentral:rRNA from 1 species
UACGGAGGGUGCAAGCGUUGUCCGGAAUCACUGGGCGUAAAGGGCGCGUAGGCGGCUCAUGAAGGCUGUGGUGAAAGUCCGGGGCUCAACCUCGGAUCGGCCGUGGCGACUCGUGGGCUGGAGCACUGUAGAGGCGGGUGGAAUUCCGGGUGGAGCGGUGAAAUGCGUAGAGAUUGGAAAGAACACCGAUGGCGAAGGCACUUUACUGGGCUAUUACUAACACUCAGAGACGAAGCUAGGGUAGCAAAUGGG